GUAGUCUCGCACAGAUGCAUAUCAAUAAGCGGAGGAAAAGGAAACUAACAAGGAUUCCCCUAGUAACGGCGAGUGAAGCGGGAAGAGCUCAAAUUUGAAAUCUUAAAGGGUUUCCCUUUACGAAUUGUAGUUUAAAGAAGUGUUUUCUGUUGAGGUUUUGGUAAAAGUUCUUUGGAACUAGGACAUCAUAGAGGGGUGAGAAUCCCGUAUUUGACCUUUACUUUCAACUUUGUGAUACACUUUCAAAGAGUCGGAUUGUUUGGGAAUGCAGUCCAAAAUGGGUGGUAAAUUUCAUCUAAAGCUAAAUAUUGGCGAGAGACCGAUAGCGAACAAGUACCGUGAGGGAAAGAUGAAAAGAACUUUGAAAAGAGAGUUAAACAGUACGUGAAAUUGUCAAAAGGGAAGCGUUUGACACCAGUGUUGUUUUUCUGAAAAUCAAUUAAAGAACUGUUUAUGCUAAGCUGUUUAGACUUUAUCAGCUAUCUGCUUAGUUUUGAGCUUUUCUUUAAUGCACUUUUCAGUUAACAAGUCAACAUCAAUUUCUUUUGCUGUAAAAAAGCUUGAGGAAGGUGGCUUGAGAUUCGUCUUAAGUGUUUAUAGCCAUCUUGCCUAUGCAGUCGGAGAGAUUGAGGUCUGCAGCGUAGAUCCUUCGGGGCUAAAUGCAUUUGUGCUAAGUUAUAGCAUUUUAUAGACAACUUGUUGACUAUGAUUUGUCUUGUAGCUUACUCGCUUAUGUUAUUUUACCUAGCGCUUAGGAUGUUGACAGCAGUAUAGACUGU
rnacentral:rRNA from 1 species